rfam:Lentibacillus amyloliquefaciens strain LAM0015, complete genome.
AUAGAAAAAAACCUGCAGAAAAUUUUCUGCAGGUCCCUUUGUUUUCGCAUCAGAAAACAAAAAGGCAAAGGGAGAGGAGAAACCGGAGGAAGAACUUAUGGGGAAGUGUAAGUCUUCUCCGUGU